UGCUAGUUGCACGAGUUGAGACUCGUAGCAUAUAGCUCAGUAACACGUGGCCAAACUACCCUACAGACCGCGAUAACCUCGGGAAACUGAGGCCAAUAGCGGAUAUCACUCUCAGGCUGGAGUGCCGAGAGUGAGAAACGUUCCGGCGCUGUAGGAUGUGGCUGCGGCCGAUUAGGUAGAUGGUGGGGUAACGGCCCACCAUGCCGAUAAUCGGUACAGGUUGUGAGAGCAAGAGCCUGGAGACGGUAUCUGAGACAAGAUACCGGGCCCUACGGGGCGCAGCAGGCGCGAAACCUUUACACUGCACGACAGUGCGAUAGGGGGACUCCGAGUGUGAGGGCAUAUAGCCCUCGCUUUUCUGAACCGUAAGGUGGUUCAGGAACAAGGACUGGGCAAGACCGGUGCCAGCCGCCGCGGUAAUACCGGCAGUCCAAGUGAUGGCCGAUAUUAUUGGGCCUAAAGCGUCCGUAGCUAGCUGUGUAAGUCCGUUGGGAAAUCGACCAGCUCAACUGGUCGGCGUCCGGUGGAAACUGCACAGCUUGGGGCCGAGAGACUCAACGGGUACGUCCGGGGUAGGAGUGAAAUCCUGUAAUCCUGGACGGACCACCAAUGGGGAAACCACGUUGAGAGAACGGACCCGACUGUGAGGGACGAAAGCCAGGGUCUCGAACCGGAUUAGAUACCCUGGUAGUCCUGGCUGUAAACCAUGCUCGCUAGGUAUGUCACGCGCCAUGAGCACGUGAUGUGCCCUAAUGAAGACGAUUAGCGAGCCGCCUGGGAAGUACCUCCGCAAGGAUGAAACUUAAAGGAAUUGGCUGGGGAGCACCACCACCGGAGGAACCUGCGGUUUAAUUGGACUCAACGCCGGACAUCUCACCGGUCCCGACAGUAGUAAUGACGGUCAGGUUGACGACGUUACUCCACGCUACUGAGAGGAGGUGCAUGG
rnacentral:rRNA from 1 species